rnacentral:rRNA from 1 species
GAUGAACGCUGGCGGCGUGCCUAAUACAUGCAAGUCGAGCGAACGGACGAGAAGCUUGCUUCUCUGAUGUUAGCGGCGGACGGGUGAGUAACACGUGGAUAACCUACCUAUAAGACUGGGAUAACUUCGGGAAACCGGAGCUAAUACCGGAUAAUAUUUUGAACCGCAUGGUUCAAAAGUAAAAGACGGUCUUGCUGUCACUUAUAGAUGGAUCCGCGCUGCAUUAGCUAGUUGGUAAGGUAACGGCUUACCAAGGCAACGAUGCAUAGCCGACCUGAGAGGGUGAUCGGCCACACUGGAACUGAGACACGGUCCAGACUCCUACGGGAGGCAGCAGUAGGGAAUCUUCCGCAAUGGGCGAAAGCCUGACGGAGCAACGCCGCGUGAGUGAUGAAGGUCUUCGGAUCGUAAAACUCUGUUAUUAGGGAAGAACAUAUGUGUAAGUAACUGUGCACAUCUUGACGGUACCUAAUCAGAAAGCCACGGCUAACUACGUGCCAGCAGCCGCGGUAAUACGUAGGUGGCAAGCGUUAUCCGGAAUUAUUGGGCGUAAAGCGCGCGUAGGCGGUUUUUUAAGUCUGAUGUGAAAGCCCACGGCUCAACCGUGGAGGGUCAUUGGAAACUGGAAAACUUGAGUGCAGAAGAGGAAAGUGGAAUUCCAUGUGUAGCGGUGAAAUGCGCAGAGAUAUGGAGGAACACCAGUGGCGAAGGCGACUUUCUGGUCUGUAACUGACGCUGAUGUGCGAAAGCGUGGGGAUCAAACAGGAUUAGAUACCCUGGUAGUCCACGCCGUAAACGAUGAGUGCUAAGUGUUAGGGGGUUUCCGCCCCUUAGUGCUGCAGCUAACGCAUUAAGCACUCCGCCUGGGGAGUACGACCGCAAGGUUGAAACUCAAAGGAAUUGACGGGGACCCGCACAAGCGGUGGAGCAUGUGGUUUAAUUCGAAGCAACGCGAAGAACCUUACCAAAUCUUGACAUCCUUUGACAACUCUAGAGAUAGAGCUUUCCCCUUCGGGGGACAAAGUGACAGGUGGUGCAUGGUUGUCGUCAGCUCGUGUCGUGAGAUGUUGGGUUAAGUCCCGCAACGAGCGCAACCCUUAAGCUUAGUUGCCAUCAUUAAGUUGGGCACUCUAAGUUGACUGCCGGUGACAAACCGGAGGAAGGUGGGGAUGACGUCAAAUCAUCAUGCCCCUUAUGAUUUGGGCUACACACGUGCUACAAUGGACAAUACAAAGGGCAGCGAAACCGUGAGGUCAAGCAAAUCCCAUAAAGUUGUUCUCAGUUCGGAUUGUAGUCUGCAACUCGACUACAUGAAGCUGGAAUCGCUAGUAAUCGUAGAUCAGCAUGCUACGGUGAAUACGUUCCCGGGUCU